rnacentral:rRNA from 1 species
UGGGGAAUCUUGGACAAUGGGCGCAAGCCUGAUCCAGCCAUGCCGCGUGAGUGAAGAAGGCCUUCGGGUUGUAAAGCUCUUUUACCAGGGACGAUAAUGACGGUACCUGGAGAAUAAGCCCCGGCAAACUUCGUGCCAGCAGCCGCGGUAAUACGAAGGGGGCUAGCGUUGUUCGGAAUUACUGGGCGUAAAGCGCACGUAGGCGGAUUGUUAAGUCAGAGGUGAAAUCCCGGAGCUCAACUUCGGAACUGCCUUUGAUACUGGCAAUCUAGAGUCCGGAAGAGGUUAGUGGAAUUCCCAGUGUAGAGGUGAAAUUCGUAGAUAUUGGGAAGAACACCAGUGGCGAAGGCGGCUAACUGGUCCGGUACUGACGCUGAGGUGCGAAAGCGUGGGGAGCAAACAGGAUUAGAUACCCCGGUAGUCCCUGAGCGGGCUGGCAAGGCG